GCGUCCCCAAGUCAGGCGUGAAUACCCGCUGA
rnacentral:rRNA from 2 species